GAUGAACGCUGGCGGCGUGCCUAAUACAUGCAAGUCGAGCGAACGGACGAGAAGCUUGCUUCUCUGAUGUUAGCGGCGGACGGGUGAGUAACACGUGGAUAACCUACCUAUAAGACUGGGAUAACUUCGGGAAACCGGAGCUAAUACCGGAUAAUAUUUUGAACCGCAUGGUUCAAAAGUGAAAGACGGUCUUGCUGUCACUUAUAGAUGGAUCCGCGCUGCAUUAGCUAGUUGGUAAGGUAACGGCUUACCAAGGCAACGAUGCAUAGCCGACCGGAGAGGGUGAUCGGCCACACUGGAACUGAGACACGGUCCAGACUCCUACGGGAGGCAGCAGUAGGGAAUCUUCCGCAGUGGGCGAAAGCCUGACGGAGCAACGCCGCGUGAGUGAUGAAGGUCUUCGGAUCGUAAAACUCUGUUAUUAGGGAAGAACAUAUGUGUAAGUAACUGUGCACAUCUUGACGGUACCUAAUCAGAAAGCCACGGCUAACUACGUG
rnacentral:rRNA from 1 species